CGACCUACACAGUUGUGAUGCCGGCACGCAUCUCUUACUUCGUGCGGCAAGUAACAAUACUCCCGCGAGUGUUCGUCUUUCUCAUUGUAAAUUCGGUAUAUCGCGUUACAUUUGAUUGAAUUUAGGGCUAAUUGUUGUGUUUAGUCACGCCUUAAAUAUUUUUCGCGUGUGAAAAUGUAGUAAUUUUCGCGUGUAUUCGUGAUCGGUUGCCGUCGGACGCCGGCUGGUCGGUGUUGUUGUGUGAUUGUAAAUAAUAUUGUAGUUAAUUUUGGUCUUGUGCGAACAUUUUUUGUCUUAAGCAGAAUUUGUCGGAUCAAUGUGCUACCUGUAUUUACUCGCAUUUAAUUCCCGGUGUUCGAUACACUGGAGACACUACUACCGCUACUCUCCUACGGUGCCCUAAAUGGGUGUAUCUUCUACCGCUACCUUCGUACGGUGCCCUAAAUGAGAGUCUUUAUGGAUCCUUUGUUGGAUAAAGCAUUGGCUAAUCCUGAGAUGGUCAAGUUUAUCAAUAAGGACCAACUGGAGACGUUCCAUGGUACUGGUGGAGUGCGUAUUGAGGAUGAUGUUUUGAUUACUGAAGAUGGAUGUGUCAACUGGACUAAAGUUCCAAGAACGGUCCAAGAAAGUGAAGAUUGGAUUGCCGGUGUUGAUGAUGAUUCCAAACACGAUUGAAUGAAUUUACACCAUCUUGAAGCUGUUAUUGUUAUAAUUUUUGUUUAUUUUCUUAAAAGUUGUUAAAAAGGCAUUAUAUAAUUGCAUAUUAUUAUCCUGUUUUCUUGCUUGUAUUGUUGAAAAUAUUGAGAAAUUGAGUUUGGGAUUGUGUAUAUUCUACAUGUUUGAAUAAAAUUGUAGUUUUAUAUUUUUGACUAUAAA